rnacentral:rRNA from 1 species
GAUUAGAGUUUGAUCAUGGCUCAGGACGAACGCUGGCGGCGUGCCUAACACAUGCAAGUCGAACGGGGUAAAGACUUCGGUUUUUACUUAGUGGCGAACGGGUGAGUAACGCGUGAGAAACCUGCCUUUCAGUGGGGGACAACAGUUGGAAACGACUGCUAAUACCGCAUAAUGUUAUUUAGGGGCAUCCCUGAAUAACCAAAGCUUUAUGUGCUGAAAGAUGGUCUCGCGUCUGAUUAGCUAGAUGGCGGGGUAACGGCCCACCAUGGCGACGAUCAGUAGCCGGUCUGAGAGGAUGAACGGCCACAUUGGGACUGAGAUACGGCCCAGACUCCUACGGGAGGCAGCAGUGGGGAAUAUUGGGCAAUGGGGGAAACCCUGACCCAGCAACGCCGCGUGAAGGAAGAAGGCCUUCGGGUUGUAAACUUCUUUUAGCAGGGACGAAGAACGUGACGGUACCUGCAGAAAAAGCAACGGCUAACUACGUGCCAGCAGCCGCGGUAAUACGUAGGUUGCAAGCGUUGUCCGGAUUUACUGGGUGUAAAGGGCGUGUAGGCGGAGAUGCAAGUUGGGAGUGAAAUCCCGGGGCUCAACCCCGGAACUGCUUUCAAAACUGCAUCCCUUGAGUAUCGGAGAGGCAAGCGGAAUUCCUAGUGUAGCGGUGAAAUGCGUAGAUAUUAGGAGGAACACCAGUGGCGAAGGCGGCUUGCUGGACGACAACUGACGCUGAGGCGCGAAAGCGUGGGGAGCAAACAGGAUUAGAUACCCUGGUAGUCCACGCAGUAAACGAUGGAUACUAGAUGCAGGGGGUAUUCACUCCUUCUGUGUCGCAGCUAACGCAAUAAGCACUCCGCCUGGGGAGUACGGUCGCAAGACUGAAACUCAAAGGAAUUGACGGGAGCCCGCACAAGCAGUGGAGUAUGUGGUUUAAUUCGACGCAACGCGAAGAAUCUUACCAGGACUUGACAUCCCGAGAAUCCGACGUAAUGGUUGGAGUGCCCUUCGGGGAAUUCGGUGACAGGUGGUGCAUGGUUGUCGUCAGCUCGUGUCGUGAGAUGUUGGGUUAAGUCCCGCAACGAGCGCAACCCUUGUUCUUAGUUGCCAUCGUUUAGUUGGGCACUCUAAGGAGACUGCCGGUGACAAACCGGAGGAAGGUGGGGAUGACGUCAAAUCAUCAUGCCCCUUAUGACCUGGGCUACACACGUGCUACAAUGGACGAUACAAACGGUUGCCAACCCGCGAGGGGGAGCUAAUCCGAUAAAAUCGUUCUCAGUUCGGAUUGUAGGCUGCAACUCGCCUACAUGAAGCCGGAAUCGCUAGUAAUCGCGGAUCAGCAUGCCGCGGUGAAUACGUUCCCGGGCCUUGUACACACCGCCCGUCACACCACGAGAGUUUGUAACACCCAAAGUCGGUGGGGUAACCUUCGGGAGCCAGCCGCCUAAGGUGGGAUAGAUGAUUGGGGUGAAGUCGUAACAAGGUAACCAAUC